rnacentral:miRNA from 1 species
AAAUGGUUGAUCUUUGAUU